rnacentral:rRNA from 1 species
AUUGAACGCUGGCGGCGGGCCUAACACAUGCAAGUCGAGCGAGCGGCGGACGGGUGAGUAAUGUCUGGGAAACUGCCUGAUGGAGGGGGAUAACUACUGGAAACGGUAGCUAAUACCGCAUACCAUGAGAUGUGCCCAGAUGGGAUUAGCUAGUAGGUGGGGUAACGGCGCACCUAGGCGACGAUCCCUAGCUGGGCUGAGAGGAUGACCAGCCACACUGGAACUGAGACACGGUCCAGACUCCUACGGGAGGCAGCAUUGGGGAAUAGUGCACAAUGGGCGCAAGCCGGAUGCAGCCAUGCCGCGUGUAUGAAGAAGGCCUUCGGGUUGUAAAGUACUUUCAGCGGGGAGGCGUUACCCGCAGAAGAAGCACCGGCUAACUCCGUGCCAGCCGCCGCGGUAAUAC